rnacentral:rRNA from 1 species
UACGGAGGGUGCAAGCGUUAUCCGGAUUCACUGGGUUUAAAGGGUGCGUAGGUGGGCUAGUAAGUCAGUGGUGAAAUCUCCGGGCUUAACCCGGAAACUGCCAUUGAUACUAUUAGUCUUGAAUACCAUGGAGGUGAGCGGAAUAUGUCAUGUAGCGGUGAAAUGCUUAGAUAUGACAUAGAACACCAAUUGCGAAGGCAGCUCGCUACGCGGUUAUUGACACUGAGGCACGAAAGCGUGGGGAGCGAACAGG